GACGAACGCUGGCGGCGUACUUAACACAUGCAAGUCGAACGGAAAGGCCCUGCUUUUGUGGGGUGCUCGAGUGGCGAACGGGUGAGUAACACGUGAGUAACCUGCCCUUGACUUUGGGAUAACUUCAGGAAACUGGGGUUAAUACCGGAUAGGAGCUCCUGCUGCAUGGUGGGGGUUGGAAAGUUUCGGCGGUUGGGGAUGGACUCGCGGCUUAUCAGCUUGUUGGUGGGGUAGUGGCUUACCAAGGCUUUGACGGGUAGCCGGCCUGAGAGGGUGACCGGCCACAUUGGGACUGAGAUACGGCCCAGACUCCUACGGGAGGCAGCAGUGGGGAAUAUUGCACAAUGGGCGGAAGCCUGAUGCAGCAACGCCGCGUGCGGGAUGACGGCCUUCGGGUUGUAAACCGCUUUCGCCUGUGACGAAGCGUGAGUGACGGUAAUGGGUAAAGAAGCACCGGCUAACUACGUG
rnacentral:rRNA from 1 species